UAAGGCAGCUAGGGCACCAGAAGUCAUGGCUCUUCCUAAUGUAACGUUUUGGGACGGAAUUCAACGUCUAUUUUAUAUCGUACCUCCUUCUGAAAGUUCAUUUGAGAAGUUGGAAGAUGUUCCUGAUUACAUCAGCCAAAGCUUGCCAUUUUUCUUUGGGGCAAUGUUGAUUGAGGUUAUCGUUUCUUGUCUAAGCGGUGCUGCUCCAAAAGCUCGUGUCAACGACGGUAUUAACUCCAUGUCUGCAGGAAUGCUGUCAGAAAUGAUGAAGAUGGUGACAUUUUCUGCACAACUGACAACUUAUGUCAUCAUUUAUAAUAACAUGAGAAUUACUGAGUUACCUUGGAAUUCACCUUACACAUGGUGGAUAUGCUUCAUUGGAGUUGAUCUUGGGUACUAUGUUUUCCAUCGACUUGGCCAUGAAGUUAAUAUUAUGUGGGCUGCACAUCAAGUGCACCACAGCUCAGAAGAAUACAACCUGACUACAGCACUUCGUCAGGGUGCCAUGCAGGGUUUCACAUCAUGGAUUUUCUAUUUGCCACUUGCUCUUGCUGUACCACCACCGAUAUUUAUGGUUCACACUCAAUUUAAUAUUUUAUAUCAAUUUUGGAUUCACACUGAAGUUGUAAAAUCACUGGGACCAUUAGAGUACAUUCUGAACACACCCAGCCAUCAUCGAGUGCAUCAUGGUAGAAAUCGUUAUUGUAUUGACAAGAACUAUGGUGGUACUCUUAUCAUAUGGGAUAGACUCUUUGGAACAUUCCAAGCUGAAGAAGAUCACGUAGUGUAUGGACUUACUCAUCCUCUCAUGACAUGGGAUCCUGUGUGGGCUCAGGCAAGUCACUUCAAGCACAUUUGGUGUACCUUCUGGCAGACCAAAGGCGUCCGGAACAAGGUAUCAGUAUUGUUCAAGGGACCUGGGUGGUCACCUGGAAAGCCUCGUUUGGGAGAAAUAACAGACAUUCCUGACGUGCAUCAUCCACAUCCAAAAUAUAAUUCAGAACUACCACUUUGGGCCACUACCUAUGUUUUCAUCCAUUUCUUUGUCACAGUGAUCGUGUUUAGUCAUUUGGGACUGAAGGCAAAAAUUAUAAAUCGCAGUGCUGUUAAUGUUGGUGUCAUGUGCCUCAUUUUCUCCUUGGUUGCAUUUGGAGCUCUGUUUGACAAAAAGUGUACACUGUGGAUAAGUACCUUGACAAUGGCCAAGAACAGGUCUGUGAGUGAGCAAUCAGCAGACCUUCAUUUCUCAAAAUUGCACUUAGCAUGCACUGACAGCCGAAUUCUCAACGUUCAUGGUGACCAAGCCAUCAUUGUGAUGGAUUGACCAAGUCUUGGUCGGCAUCACGUGACUUCAUUAAAUUCACAUCACUCAUUUACAGAGAUGACUUUGUUGGCAGCCUUUUGAUGGAAUUAGUCUUAUGAUACUCAUGUUAAUGUUUUCAUAUUAAUUAAACGCUGUUUUAUUUUAUAUCGACAGAUGGUAUGCUCCUUACCUGGAAACGGUGCGUGUUGCUGUUUUUCUAAUGAUUGACAUUGCUACCUUUACUACAGGACAAUCAGCUAUGGAAAGUCUGCUAGGGUUUCCUUCUAUGGGAAUGAGUGUUCUUCGCUUGUGGUUCAUGU